AUGGCUGCCCUCCGGCCUCUGGUGAAGCCCAAGAUCGUCAAAAAGAGGACCAAGAAGUUCAUCAGACACCAGUCAGACCGAUAUGUGAAAAUUAAGCAAAACUGGUGGAAACCCAGAGGCAUCUACAACAGGGUUCGGAGAAGGUUCAAGGGCGAGAUCCUGAUGCCCAACAUCAGUUACAGGAGCAACAAGAAAACCAAGCACAUGCUGCCCAGCAGCUUCUGCAAGUUCCUGGUCCACGAUGUCAAGGAGCUGGAAGUGCUGCUCAUGUGUAACAAAUCUUACUGUGCUGAGAUUGCUCACAAUGUGUCCUCUAAGAACCGAGAAGCCAUUGUAGAAAGAGCAGCACAGCUGGCUAUCAGAGUCUCCAAUCCCAACGCCAGGCUACGCAGCGAAGAAAAUGAAUAG
rnacentral:lncRNA from 1 species